GGGGGGGGGGGGGGGGGGGGGAGGGGGGGGGAGGGGGGGGAAGGGAGGGGGAGCGGGCGCGGUCGACGGGAGCGGCGGACGGGGGAGGAACACGGAGGGAACCGACCUAUAAGACGGGGAUAACGUCGGGAAACCGGGGGGAAGACCGGAGAAUAUGGCGAACCGCAUGGGUCGAUAGUGAAAGAGGGCUCUGCGAGCACGGAUAGGUGGACCUGCGCCGGGUUAGCUAGGUGGUAAGGUAACGGCUUACCAAGGCAACGAUACGUAGCCGACCUGAGAGGGUGAUCGGCCACACUGGAACUGAGCCACGGUCCAGCCUCCUACGGGAGGCAGCAGUAGGGAAUCUUCCGCAAUGGGCGAAAGCCUGACGGAGCAACGCCGCGUGAGUGAUGAAGGUCUUCGGAUCGUAAAACUCUGUUAUUAGGGAAGAACAAACGUGUAAGUAACUGUGCACGUCUUGACGGUACCUAAUCAGAAAGCCACGGCUAACUACGUG
rnacentral:rRNA from 1 species